GAUGAAGAACGUAGCGAAAUGCGAUAAGUAAUGUGAAUUGCAGAAUUCAGUGAAUCAUCGAAUCUUUGAACGCACAUUGCGCCCGCCAGUAUUCUGGCGGGCAUGCCUGUUCGAGCGUCAUUACAACCCUGAGGCCCCCGGGCCUGGCGUUGGGGAUCGGCGGAGCCCCCCGUGGGCACACGCCGUCCCCCAAAUGCAGUGGCGGUCCCGCCGCAGCUUCCAUCGCGUAGUAGCUAACACCUCGCGACUGGAGAGCGGCGCGGCCACGCCGUAAAACACCCAACUCUUCUGAAGUUGACCUCGAAUCAGGUAGGAAUACCCGCUGAACUUAAGCAUAUCAAUAAGCGGAGGA
rnacentral:misc_RNA from 1 species